AAAUUGGAUGAUGAUGGUCUCAUCAGUUACAUCUUAAACGGCCUGGAUGCUUCGUACAACCCGUUUGUGUCUUCCAUGGCUGUCAAGGAUAAUCUUACAUUGAGUGACUUAUAUGCUCAACUCCUGGCUUAUGAGG